rnacentral:rRNA from 1 species
AUGAAGUACCACGCGCGCACGAGCAGUACAUCCAUGGCGAGCUCGGUUCGCGCCGCCGGUCGGACAACGAUGUGGGACACAACGCGUCUGGGGAAGAGAGGGUGUGAGCCGCCCAUGUCAGGGUCCCAUCCACGACUCCCUCUCCUCCUCUCCUUCUCUCACCGGAGCGCCACCGAGCCCUCUACCCUUCUCCCGCUCCACUCACCCUCCUCGGCUCCUCCUCCAUCCCACCUCCUACGUCCGCUCGCCCAACCAUGGCAGCCUCUUCUUGCACUGGCGCCAUGGCCACAGCUCAGGGGCAGCGCGCACCGCGCGACUCACGCCUUCUCUAGCCAGGGAAGACCGCACCACAGGCUUCCUUGCCUCUGCUGUAGGCGCCGACACGGUCACCUCCGAGCCCUCUCGUCCAUCUCUGUCCUUGCACGCGAGGUGUUUGUUGGAAUGCCCCUAAGGAGGAGAAUUCGGUUUGAGAGAGAUGAUGAUGCUGACAGGUGGCCCUCCAUUCAACUUUACGGUCAACACACGGUUUUCACCAUUUACUGCCACGUGGCACUGACCAGUGGGCCCGAUAAGCAGUACCAGCCAAGCUACUCUUGUUCUCUAGAACCAUCCACAGAUGUUAAUGCUGGAAAAAUCCACAUGCUUGCUGCUGUUGUCGUCCAUCCGUGCAUUUUGCACAUGUUGUGUCCGACCACCUUGACUGUGGUCGCGCACUCUAACAUGCCAGAGUGCCAGGCAUGCUCGCCCCCAUAUAUUCCUCCGCACCUUCACCUCCCUUCUGUGCAAGCUCUCUCGGCAACAAGAGAGAGAACUAGAAAUAUAGGAAGAACACACGAUGCGGCGAGAACGAACGUCUCCCAGUGCUCAAGACAUUGUGGCGAACUUGGUGUCCUCAACGAAGCUACCCAUCAGAAGCCGGAGCCUCAUAUAGAAGUUUCCCGUGGAUACUUGUCAAGCUACGAGUUGUGCUCGUUCUUGUUGUUAUCUCCUCCCGGUGGCGGGCACGCCACCUCUGACCACCACGUGCGCCUGAGGUCCAAGGUCGUGCGCUCCCCACAUUUGCCUCCAUGUCUUGCUUCACGUCCCCAUCCUAUACACAUUCACCUCGCUACUCAAGUUCCACGCAGCUCGUGCGAAACUCGCCAUGGGUCGCGUCAUCCAUGCCCAUCUCGCGGCGACAAUGUUGGUGCCUGGCCACAAGGUACUCCAGGUGUCGUUGGGCCGGCGACACGUGCAAGAAACAGGCUCGCUGGGUUCGCCAUGGAGAUGGUCGUUAGGAUGCAGGAUGAGGACGGGGUGCGAUCUGAAUCCAUCAUGCCCGUGUAUGCGCUGCCCACUUGUGUUGAGCUCGGGUGCUUGAGACUAGCCGUGAGGUGCACCCUUUUGCAGCUCGUGUGUGGCGCUGUCAAGGUGGUGAGGACGGUGUUUGAUCGAGUGUUGGUCAAGGACUUUGUGGCAGAACGCCGUUAUCAGAGCAUCUUCAACGGAAAUAAGAGGAGAGUCCUCCACUCACCACGACCCAUCGAAAAGCUGGAUCGCUCCUGCACUGGGCCGUUCGCGCCGCCAUGCCGGUCACAACCUAUUGCACACAGGGUCGCCUAUCUCCCCUGGCCGCCCGCGCCGGCUAAGCCGGCCGCACAACCGCCAAUAGCGCACAUAGGAACCGAUGCUCCUCCGCCACUGCCGCCACCUCGCCGCGACCCCAGGCCACCGUACGCCUCAUGGUCUGCUGCAUUACGUUACAAAUCACAUUCAUAUGAUUCCCUUCAUUCCAUGCAAUGCAUUGGUUGGAACAAAUCAUCUACUACAACCCAGGACGAAAUCUCAUUAUCCCUUCUAUUCAAGGUGGACAUACUGGUAUCGCGCACAGAUCAGCAGAGAAAUGGUGACAGACCCAUCCGCUUGCUGCACAUCCAUUGCUGCGGCAUCUCGAUCAUUCUACAAGACACGCGCCACUAA